AUUGAACGCUGGCGGCAGGCCUAACACAUGCAAGUCGAGCGGCAGCGGGAAAGUAGCUUGCUACUUUUGCCGGCGAGCGGCGGACGGGUGAGUAAUGCCUGGGAAAUUGCCCAGUCGAGGGGGAUAACAGUUGGAAACGACUGCUAAUACCGCAUACGCCCUCCGGGGGAAAGCAGGGGAUCUUCGGGCCUUGCGCGAUUGGAUAUGCCCAGGUGGGAUUAGCUAGUUGGUGAGGUAAUGGCUCACCAAGGCGACGAUCCCUAGCUGGUCUGAGAGGAUGAUCAGCCACACUGGAACUGAGACACGGUCCAGACUCCUACGGGAGGCAGCAGUGGGGAAUAUUGCACAAUGGGGGAAACCCUGAUGCAGCCAUGCCGCGUGUGUGAAGAAGGCCUUCGGGUUGUAAAGCACUUUCAGCGAGGAGGAAAGGUUGAUGCCUAAUACGUAUCAACUGUGACGUUACUCGCAGAAGAAGCACCGGCUAACUCCGUGCCAGCAGCCGCAGUAACAC
rnacentral:rRNA from 1 species